rnacentral:rRNA from 1 species
UAGGGAAUCUUCGGCAAUGGGGGCAACCCUGACCGAGCAACGCCGCGUGAGUGAAGAAGGUUUUCGGAUCGUAAAGCUCUGUUGUAAGUCAAGAACGGGUGUGAGAGUGGAAAGUUCACACUGUGACGGUAGCUUACCAGAAAGGGACGGCUAACUACGUGCCAGCAGCCGCGGUAAUACGUAGGUCCCGAGCGUUGUCCGGAUUUAUUGGGCGUAAAGCGAGCGCAGGCGGUUUGAUAAGUCUGAAGUUAAAGGCUGUGGCUCAACCAUAGUUCGCUUUGGAAACUGUCAAACUUGAGUGCAGAAGGGGAGAGUGGAAUUCCAUGUGUAGCGGUGAAAUGCGUAGAUAUAUGGAGGAACACCGGUGGCGAAAGCGGCUCUCUGGUCUGUAACUGACGCUGAGGCUCGAAAGCGUGGGGAGCGAACAGGAUUAGGAUACC